rnacentral:tRNA from 7 species
GCGCCCGUAGCUCAACGGAUAGAGCAUCUGACUACGGAUCAGAAGGUUCGGGGUUCGAAUCCCUGCGGGCGCACCA